rnacentral:rRNA from 1 species
AUACGUAGGUGGCAAGCGUUGUCCGGAUUUAUUGGGCGUAAAGCGAGCGCAGGCGGAAAGAUAAGUCAGAUGUGAAAGCCCUCGGCUUAACCGAGGAAUAGCAUCGGAAACUGUCUUUCUUGAGUGCAGAAGAGGAGAGUGGAACUCCAUGUGUAGCGGUGGAAUGCGUAGAUAUAUGGAAGAACACCAGUGGCGAAGGCGGGUCUCUGGUCUGUAACUGACGCUGAGGCACGAAAGCAUGGGUAGCGAACAGGAUUAGAUACCCUGGUAGUCCAUGCUGUAAACGAUGAGUGCUAAGUGUUGGGAGGUUUCCGCCUCUCAGUGCUGCAGCUAACGCAUUAAGCGCUCCGCCUGGGGAGUACGGCCGCAAGGUCAAAACUCAAAUGAAUUGACGGGG